rnacentral:rRNA from 1 species
UAGGGAAUAUUGGGCAAUGGACGGAAGUCUGACCCAGCCAUGCCGCGUGCAGGAUGAAGGCGCUCAGCGUUGUAAACUGCUUUUAUCAGGGAAGAACAGCAGUCCUGCGGGAUUGUGUGACGGUACCUGAGGAAUAAGCACCGGCUAACUCCGUGCCAGCAGCCGCGGUAAUACGGAGGGUGCAAGCGUUGUCCGGAUUUAUUGGGUUUAAAGGGUGCGUAGGUGGUUUUUUAAGUCUGGUUUGAAAGCUGGUCGCUUAACGAUCAGAUGUGGCUGGAAACUGAAGAACUUGAAUGCGUUGGCGGUAGCCGGAAUGGGUCAUGUAGCGGUGAAAUGCAUAGAUAUGACCCGGAACACCGAUUGCGAAGGCAGGCUACUACGACGUGAUUGACACUGAGGCACGAGAGCAUGGGUAGCGAACA